rnacentral:tRNA from 1 species
GGCCGGUUAGCUCAGCUGGUUAGAGCGUGGUGCUAAUAACGCCAAGGUCGUCGGUUCGAUCCCGGCAUUGGCCA